CCCCCCCUACGGGAGGCAGCAGUAGGGAAUCUUCCACAAUGGACGAAAGUCUGAUGGAGCAACGCCGCGUGAGUGAAGAAGGGCUUCGGCUCGUAAAGCUCUGUUGGUAGUGAAGAAAGAUAGAGGUAGUAACUGGCCUUUAUUUGACGGUAACUACUUAGAAAGUCACGGCUAACUACGUGCCAGCAGCCGCAGUAAUACGUAGGUGGCAAGCGUUGUCCGGAUUUAUUGGGCGUAAAGCGAGUGCAGGCGGGUCAAUAAGUCU
rnacentral:rRNA from 1 species